GCGUCGGGAGAGACCCCUCUGCAAGAGGGGCGCCGAAGGGGAAGCGGGCAGCAAACUCUCAGGCAAAAGUACCGGCG
rnacentral:ncRNA from 1 species